CAGGUGAGUUGUUGCUUGAAGAAUUGCAACAUAUUUGAACUCGGUGCCGUUUAAAAAAACGUUUAUAGACAAAUAAGCUUUAAUGUAAUACAAAAUGAACGGACUGGGGUCUGAUAGGUAUUUAGUCAAAUCGAGCCUUUUAGACCUCGAUAGCAAGCUUCACUGGACCAAUGGCACAUAUCAUUUGGCCACACCAUGAACUGUUGUUUUUCUUUACCAAACAAGUUCAACUUAAUUAAAAAUAGGGUGAUCAUCAUUAGACUACGUGGUGCUCAAAAGUUGAAAUCCAUGACUUGUUAUCAUGUAAUAACUCAAUAAUAAUGCCGCCUUAGAUUGUCCAGCAGAGCAGAAGCCAUUUUUCUGUAACACUCAAGCACACAUGGCAAAUAUAGCACACAUACCAUCUAUGCAUUAGAGCCAUGUGCUGAAUUCACCUGACACUCCUAGACAAUGCAAUAGCUAAAGUUCCUAGACAAGCAAUAGCUAAAGAUCGGGGGAUUGGGACUGACAGUGAAAGAAACAAGUUUGAACAAGCAAUGUUAUUGAUUAUCCGUGAAUUCACCAGAGAGAUGGUGGUAAGGGCCUGAGAUGCAGGAGUGUUCCCUGUGAGGACUGGGGUAAUGACUGGGGUAAUGACUGUGAACAGGAGCAGCAAGGAGGAUCAACAAAAGGGGGUGCAAGGAGCUUGUUGAGAGAGAUUCUUCUCUCCUUUCACAGACAUAAUUUAACACAAGGAUGCUUCCCACUGGACACACCAUAUCAUUUCAACGUGGAAAUGUGGGUAAUAUUUGGUUUAGAUGUUGAUCAAUGAGAUUUCAAUCUUUAUUCACACACUCAAAAAGUCAGCCUGAAUUAUUUUGAAUUCCCAAUGUAUUACUGUGCUUUCAACCAUCUUAAAAGCACAACUAAAUUCCAAUGAAAAAACGAUGAGUUUUUUAUUUAGUUGUCAUCUAAAUGUGUUAUCACUGCACUUUCAACCAUUUAAAAGCACAACAAAGUUCAAAUGGGAAUACAAUGUCAGAUAUUUUGGAUUUAUACAACAUUUAAUGUGUAAUCAUUGUGCUUAACCUAUUUUAUCCCAUCAGUUACAAUAGUGACCGUAAAAAAUAUUGAAAUAAUAAAGAGUCUCAAUGAAAUAUGUGCAGUGUUACAUGUUUAUUUUAAAUUGUCACAUGACCAGAGCUGUUUACUUCCUGGUUGCACCAUGAGAAGACGAUGGCUGCAUUAAAGCUCCCAAACAAAAGUUUCACUUUGAGUCAAGUUCUGGAUAUGUUGGAUCUAGGUGACUGCCCAGACAAGCGAUGGGUCAGAUAUGGAUUAUGAGGGGGAGACAGGCCAUUUGCCAGCCAGGCUGUUGAAUGUAUAUGCUGAACCUAUGCAAACAGAUCAUGACAGGAACAACAUUAUCAGUGAUGAUGACCUACCCUUCACCACCCUACACUCUCCUCCCUGAGACUGGGUUGGGUCAUGGACCCAGUGUCGUUCUUGGUGUUGCAGAGAAAUCUCAGGUGCCUCAAGGUUGCAAGAUCCUUCAUGACAACCUCUUCACUUCGCUUGCACUCUUCGAUGAAAUGACAAAAAGAGGAUAUGGGAGCUCUGGAACGAUGAGGCAAAAUCGUCUGUUUGAUGUCCCAUUCAAGCCACAGAAGGACUUCAUGAAGUUACCCCGGGGAACCUCUGAGGUUCUGACCCAAGGAGACAAGGUGCUGGUCCGUUAGAAAGACAAUAACAUUGUCACAGUGGCAACAAACAUGGAGGAGAAAUACAGUGAGACCUCUGUCAAGAGAUAGAACAAGGAGCGACGUGCCUUUUGACAAAGUCCCACAACCAAAAUGCAUCAACCGAUACAAUGAGCACAUGGGUGGUGUUGAACUUCACAACCUACAGAUUU